GAUCAAAUAAAUAGGAAACUAACUCAUUCAAUGGAACACCAUCUUUUGAAGUCACAGUGCCUAUUUAUAUUUUCUGUUUUCUAUCAAGAUAUUUUUUUGUCUCACAGUUCUUUGUAUGUUUGUGAAGAUGACUUAUCCCAUUUUUAGGAUUAGCUGAAAAAAUAAAAUGGCAAUAAUUGCAUUUAGCCUUAUCUUUUUGUUUUUCUAUCUCACAAUAAUGAUUCAAAUACUGAUUCCACUUCCACCGGGCCCAACACCUCUCCAAUGGUCAGAUCUGAGGAACACGACUUCAAUUCGUUGAGUCUAGAUCAAGGUCGAUUAGUAGCAAUCAAUACAGAAAUCUAACGGUGAAGUUGGAGAGUAAAGGAUUCAACAAUGGAGAUGCAACCUAACGUUGAGAGAGAGAGCUCAGAGGAAUGGUGAUCAAGGCCCCCUCUCUGUGACCCGUGGGACUCCCAUAGGGUGGGCAGAGGCUUACCCCAUCGGCCUUCAGUGCCUAAGAGAGAAGGAGGAGCCACCAGUGAUGAUGGAAACCGCAGCAGACGGCUAGAUCAAGCGGUCUCAAAAGAGAAAAUACAAAGGCAAUGUGGUCUGAAGGCAUCCAACCCUAGCCAGAGGUCUCGGCCAUGGAACAGGGCACGAGAGAAGAUGGUCCCAGAUCAGCCAUCCGACGGAUGGUGAGACUGGAGAGGGCACUGACCACGCGAGUAGUGGCCGAAGAAAGGAAGACCUAAGGACAUGGUAGUUCGGUCGAGGUGAAUAGGGAAACAAGACCACCGAGUCGGUGCUUGGGAUUGACCAGCGCCCAUGCGGCCGGAUGCAGCGAGCUUGCGGCAUCAACGAGCCACCCACGAGGAGAAGAAUGGGAGAGCCGGGGAAGAAGAAAAAAGAGAGAAGGGUUUACCUCAAAUAGGGGAGAUGGAAGUUGCCAAACAUACCUUGCAGCCUAGCGCCAUAUAUUUUCAGGGAGAAAUAAGGGGGAAGAAAGAGAGGAGGAAUAUCUAGAGAAGGAAGGGGGAGAUCUAGGGUUUCGGAGGAGGGACAUACCUUAGGAGAAGGGACGAACCAUGCCGAAGUCGUCGAAUGCAGAAGAGACU
rnacentral:lncRNA from 1 species